UCAUUUAAUUCAUUUUUUUCCCUUUGACUUUUGAACAGCACAAGGUUAGGGGCACCAACCAUCCUGCACAGUUGAAAAUUCACAUGUAACUUCUGACUCCCCAGAGACUUAUCUACUAAUAGCUUCCUAUUGACCGGAUGCCUUUCUGUGACCAAUACUUUGCCAGCUGGCUGUGGUUUGCCAACAUCAGCUCAGAGAGACAGAAGGCCUUGGGGAAUGGAACCUGCAUCAUGUUCAUGUUUGAGUCACCCCAGGAAUUAGCACCUUGCCUAGACUCAUCUCCUACUCAGUAAGUGGUUUAGUUAUCAUAAUGGGAUACACCACUAUAUUUUCCUAUAUAUGGGUGGACCCCUUGAUCCACAAACAGUAGAGGAUUAAUUUCAGUUCCUU
rnacentral:lncRNA from 1 species